AAAUUUUGUUAUUUUACAUUUCUAAUACCAUAGCGAAUGAAAGAAUGUCUUGGAUGUCUUCAUUUCUACUUAAAAUAACUACAAUCCAGUAAUUUCACGUAUUUACUCGAUGUAUAAAAUUUUACCACGUUUUUCACAAAAUGUUAAUGGAUUUAAUCAUUUAAAAUUAUGUAUAUAUAUAGAUCGAAAACUUGUGAUGACAUAACAACCGAAAUUCAAUGAAACUGUGAUUAAUACAAACAUGCACUACCAACUGAUAUAUAUCAUUUAAAUAAUCAAUUUAUAUGCAAACGCAGGACGUUUUACUAAUCAUUUCGAUUUCACAGGUUAAAUCUUGAGACACUGGAAGGAUUGACUUGAAGUUGACAAGUUCUGAAAAAAGUAAUUUGCAAUAACCUUGCUUGAGAUUGCAGUUGUAAGAUGUGGUAAAUUGCCUCACGUUCUGCCCAGAAAAUAAUCUAUCUUGCAUGUAAGCCGAAAGACAGUUUGAUUGACAGAAUAGAUACUCCGAUGGACAAUCACAUGCCAUGAUCUAUCUAAUAGUUCGAAGGUGGAUUUUUUUGCUAUUAUGACCAACAAUGAAACUGAAUAUGCUCAUUUACUACACUUCCUAAUGUUACGAGAAUAUGUUAAUGUUGAUUAUUAAACUGUGAAUAUACCUUAUUGUUGGUCAAAACUUAUGAAGCAAUCUGUACUACUUUUCAAUAUGUACAAAAAUAUAAGACAAUUUGAAGGAAUA